rnacentral:rRNA from 1 species
UACGUAGGGGGCAAGCGUUGUCCGGAUUCAUUGGGCGUAAAGAGCGUGUAGGCGGCCAGGUAGGUCGGUUGUGAAAACUGGAGGCUCAACCUUCAGACGUCGACCGAAACCAUCUGGCUAGAGUCCGGGAGAGGAGACUGGAAUUCCUGGUGUAGCGGUGAAAUGCGCAGAUAUCAGGAGGAACACCGAUGGCGAAGGCAGGUCUCUGGGCCAUAACUGACGCUGAGAAGCGAAAGCAUGGGGAGCGAACAGG